rnacentral:rRNA from 1 species
CCUACGGGUGGCAGCAGUGGGGGAUAUUGCACAAUGGGGGAAACCCUGAUGCAGCGACGCCGCGUGAGUGAAGAAGUAUUUCGGGAUGUAAAGCUCUAUCAGCAGGGAAGAAAAUGACAGUACCUGACCAAGAAGCCCCGGCGAACUACGUGCCAGCAGCCGCGGUAAUACGUAGGGGGCAAGCGUGAGCCGGAUUUACUGGGUGUAAAGGGAGCGUCGCCGGUUCGGGAAGUCUGGAGUGAAAGCCCGGGGCCCACCCCCGGGACUGCUUUUGAAACGGUGUAACUGGAGUACAGGAGGGGCCGGCGGAAUUCCUGGUGUAGCGGUGAAAUGCGUAGAUAUCAGGCGGAACACCGGCGGCGAAGGCGGCCUGCUGGACUGCAACUGACGUUGCGGCUCGAAAGCGUGGGGAGCAAACAGGAUUAGAUACCCUGGUAGUC